GACGAACGCUGGCGGCGUGCUUAACACAUGCAAGUCGAACGAUGAAGCCGGAGCUUGCUCUGGUGAAUUAGUGGUGAACGGGUGAGUAACACGUGAGUAACCUGCCCUUGACUCUGGGAUAACUGCGGGAAACUGUAGCUAAUACCGGAUACGACCCUCGGAGGCAUCUCCUGGGGGUGGAAAGAAUUUCGGUCAAAGAUGAACUCGCGGCCUAUCAGCCAGUUGGUGGGGUAAAGGCUCACCAAGGCGACGACGGGUAGCCGGCCUGAGAGGGUGACAGGCCACACUGGGACUGAGACACGGCCCAGACUCCUACGGGAGGCAGCAGUGGGGAAUAUUGCACAAUGGGCGCAAGCCUGAUGCAGCAACGCCGCGUGAGGGAUGACGGCCUUCGGGUUGUAAACCUCUUUUAGCAGGGAAGAAGCGAAAGUGACGGUACCUGCAGAAUAAGCACCGGCUAACUACGUGCCAGCCGCCGCAGUAA
rnacentral:rRNA from 1 species